rnacentral:rRNA from 1 species
UACGGAGGGAGCUAGCGUUGUUCGGAAUUACUGGGCGUAAAGCGCGCGUAGGCGGCUUGCCAAGUUGGGGGUGAAAGCCCGGGGCUCAACCUCGGAACUGCCUCCAAAACUGGCAAGCUAGAGAUCUGGAGAGGUGAGUGGAAUUCCUAGUGUAGAGGUGAAAUUCGUAGAUAUUAGGAAGAACACCAGUGGCGAAGGCGGCUCACUGGCCAGACACUGACGCUGAGGUGCGAAAGCGUGGGGAGCGAACAGG